CAUCGUCGCCAUUUCACUCCAUCCCGACGCCAUUCCCCUCCAUCCCCGCCUCCGUCGUUGUCCAUCUCCCUCGCCGUCUCUGUCGCCCGUCCUGGUGUCUCCUCCCCCUCCAGCGUCAUUGCCUUCUCCGCUCCCUCCGUCGAAGCCCGUCUCCCCGCAAUCGCCGCCUUCUCCCCCGCCCGCGUCUCCACGCCGCCUUGUGAGUCCCCUCGGUCGCCGUCCUCCUCCCCCACCCCCUUCUCCAGCGAGUCGCCUCACGUCGCCGCGCCUCCACCCGUCACUGCCGCCACGUUCUCCUUGCCACCAGCCCUCUCCGUCGCGUCACCUCUACCCGCCACCGCCGCCACGUCCUCCUCCCCAUCAACCCCCGCCCCCUUCUCCACUCCUCUCGGCGAUCCCGCAUCUCCGUCUGGGAUCUCCAGAGCUCCGCCCUAUCCCGCCGCUACCCGCGUCGGCACACCUUCUGGUGAGUUCCACCUCAGACCCCAGCACCGCGCCACUCGCCACCGCCGAGCCUUCGUCCUCCUCGCUAUCCCCUUACUCGCCGUCGGCCUCCUCCCCCACGCUCGGCUCCAGCCCCGUCCAUCUCCGCCCACCAUCGCUCCUGCAGCCGCGUGGGAGAGCCCCCAAUCCAUCGCCCACAAGCGGAGGAGCAGCCUCUGGAUCCAAUGGCAACGCACGCCUGCACCUCCUUCGGAGCAGGAGGAAGACUCGCCAUUGGACAAUAGCGGAAGCAUGAAGGAUGAGAUGAUCCAUCUAUAUCUGAACAACUCCACCAUGGCAUUGGCGAUCCCGAGAGAGGCAUGCUUACUGGGUGCUCCGAGGUGCCAUGGCAUUGGGAUGCUGGUGGGAGCAUUCAGUAUUUGCAAGGAGCAAGAGCAAGUGCGCGAAGCCAUCUUGGAAGAACGGUUAAUGUUAACAGCAUUUUUACUUACUUACUCUGAACCACAUGCCGGUGAAGGGGUUCUCAGUGUUCAGGAAGGCAUCGAUGAAUACAUAAGAAAGCUAGCAACGAUUCUUUACAACUCUCCAUCCAACAAAUUUUGGAAUCAUGCACAGGCCAUCUCCGAAGAAAUCUAA
rnacentral:lncRNA from 1 species